rnacentral:tRNA from 1 species
GCAGUCGUGGCCGAGUGGUUAAAACUAGAAAUCCAUUGGGGUCUCCCCGCACAGGUUCGAAUCCUGUCGACUGCG